rnacentral:rRNA from 1 species
UACGUAGGGGCCGAGCGUUGUCCGGAGUUAUUGGGCGUAAAGCGCGCGCAGGCGGCUUCGCGCGCCCGCCGUGAAAGCCCCCGGCUUAACCGGGGAGAGUCGGUGGGGACGGCGGAGCUUGAGGGCGGGGGAGGUCGGUGGAAUUCCCGGUGUAGUGGUGAAAUGCGUAGAGAUCGGGAGGAACACCUGUGGCGAAGGCGGCCGACUGGGCCGACCCUGACGCUGAGGCGCGAAGGCGUGGGGAGCGAACGGG